rnacentral:rRNA from 1 species
UACGGAGGUGGCAAGCGUUGUUCGGAAUUACUGGGCGUAAAGGGCGCGUAGGCGGCAAGGCAAGUCAGGUGUGAAAGCCCCCGGGCUCAACUCGGGAACUGCAUCUGAAACUGCUGUGCUUGAGUCCUGGAGGGGGUAGUGGAAUUCCCAGUGUAGCGGUGAAAUGCGUAGAUAUUGGGAGGAACACCGGUGGCGAAGGCGGCUACCUGGACAGUGACUGACGCUGAGGCGCGAAAGCUAGGGGAGCGAACGGG